rnacentral:lncRNA from 1 species
AUGUGUGGGCAGUGGGCAGUGCCACACCCCAGGGGGUUGGGGACAUCGGGGACCACCCACCAUUCAUUCAGCGGGCAGUGCCACCACCCUGCCCUGCCACCCCCCCCCCCCCCCCCCCCCCCCCCCCCCCCCCCCCCCCCCCCCCCCCCCCCCCCCCCCCCCCCCCCCCCCCCCCCCCCCCCCCCCCCCCCCCCCCCCCCCCCCCCCCCCCCCCCCCGAGGAGGGUUUGGGGACAUUGAGGACCACCCACAAUUCAGCGCCACCCCCUGGGGGUUGGUUUGGGACAUCAGGGACCACCCACCAUUCAUUGGGUGGGCAGUGCCACCUCCCUGUCACCCCCAGGGGGAACCUGGGGACAUCGAGGACCACCCACGGUUCAGUGCCACCCACCAUUCAUUAGUGGGCAGUGCCACCCCCCCGGGGAGGGUUUGGGGACACUGGGGACACCCCACAGUUCAGUGCCACGCCCCAGGCCAGCUCUGGGGACCACCCACAGUUCAGUGCCACCCCCGGGCCCACUCUGGGGACACUGGGGACCACCCACAGUUCAGUGCCACGCCCCAGGAUGGCUCUGGGGACAUCAAGGACCACCCACAGUUCAGUGUCACCCCCCGGGGACGGUUUGGGGACACUGGGGACACCCCACACUUCAGUGCCACCCCCCGGGGAGGGUUUGGGGACACUGAGGACCACCCACAGUUCAGUGCCAUCCCCGGGCCGGCUCUGGGGACACUGGGGACACCCCACAGUUCAGUGCCACCCCCGGGCCCAUUCUGGGGACAUCAAGGACCACCCACAGUUCAGUGCCACCCCCCGGGGAGGGUUUGGGGACAUCGAGGACCACCCACAGUUCAGUGCCAUCCCCGGGCCGGCUCUGGGGACACUGGGGACACCCCACAGUUCAGUGCCACCCCCCAGCCCAUUCUGGGGACAUCAAGGACCACCCCCCCCCCCCCCCCCCCCCCCCCCCCCCCCCCCCCCCCCCCCCCCCCCCCCCCCCCCCCCCCCCCCCCCCCCCCCCCCCCCCCCCCCCCCCCCCCCCCCCCCCCCCCCCCCCCCCCC